GCCCUAGUAACGGCGAGUGAAGCGGCAACAGCUCAAAUUUGAAAUCUGGCUCUCGGGCCCGAGUUGUAAUUUGUAGAGGAUGCUUUUGGUGAGGUGCCUUCCGAGUUCCCUGGAACGGGACGCCAUAGAGGGUGAGAGCCCCGUCUGGUUGGACACCGAUCCUCUGUAAAGCUCCUUCGACGAGUCGAGUAGUUUGGGAAUGCUGCUCUAAAUGGGAGGUAUAUGUCUUCUAAAGCUAAAUAUUGGCCAGAGACCGAUAGCGCACAAGUAGAGUGAUCGAAAGAUGAAAAGCACUUUGAAAAGAGAGUUAAAAAGUACGUGAAAUUGUUGAAAGGGAAGCGCUUGUGACCAGACUUGGGCUUGGUUGAUCAUCCAGGGUUCUCCCUGGUGCACUCUUCCAGCCCAGGCCAGCAUCAGUUUGCUUCGGGGGAUAAAGGCGUCGGGAAUGUGGCACCCUCCGGGGUGUGUUAUAGCCCGUCGUGUAAUACCCUGGGGCAGACUGAGGUUCGCGCAUCUGCAAGGAUGCUGGCGUAAUGGUCAUCAGCGACCCGUCUUGAAACACGGACCAAGGAGUCGUCUUCGUAUGCGAGUGUUCGGGUGUCAAACCCCUACGCGUAAUGAAAGUGAACGCAGGUGAGAGCUUCGGCGCAUCAUCGACCGAUCCUGAUGUUCUCGGAUGGAUUUGAGUAAGAGCAUACGGGGCCGGACCCGAAAGAAGGUGAACUAUGCCUGUAUAGGGUGAAGCCAGAGGAAACUCUGGUGGAGGCUCGCAGCGGUUCUGACGUGCAAAUCGAUCGUCAAAUAUGGGCAUGGGGGCGAAAGACUAAUCGAACC
rnacentral:rRNA from 1 species